rnacentral:rRNA from 1 species
AUUGAACGCUGGCGGCAUGCUUUACACAUGCAAGUCGAACGGCAGCGCGGGCUUCGGCCUGGCGGCGAGUGGCGAACGGGUGAGUAAUGCAUCGGAACGUGCCCAGUAGUGGGGGAUAGCCCGGCGAAAGCCGGAUUAAUACCGCAUACGACCUGCGGGUGAAAGCGGGGGACCGAAAGGCCUCGCGCUAUUGGAGCGGCCGAUGUCGGAUUAGCUAGUUGGUGGGGUAAAGGCUUACCAAGGCGACGAUCCGUAGCUGGUCUGAGAGGACGACCAGCCACACUGGGACUGAGACACGGCCCAGACUCCUACGGGAGGCAGCAGUGGGGAAUUUUGGACAAUGGGGGCAACCCUGAUCCAGCCAUGCCGCGUGCGGGAAGAAGGCCUUCGGGUUGUAAACCGCUUUUGUUCGGGAAGAAAUCCUCUGGGCUAAUACCCCGGGGGGAUGACGGUACCGGAAGAAUAAGCACCGGCUAACUACGUG